AUGAAGGCAGCAUUAAAAACUAUCCUCCAAAAUACUCUACAUAAGUUGUGUCGGUGGCAUAUCAUGAAGAAGUACAAAGACCACCUCGCCUUGUUGUAUAAGGCGCACGAGAAACUCAAGGAUGACCUCAAUGCGGUGCUGAACCACCCACUAAUGCCGUCAGAAUUUGAACGAGCAUGGAAGGACCUCAUUCAGAGAUACAACUUGCAAGACGAUGAAGUGAUGAUUUCGCUGUGGGAUGACAGGCACGAGUGGAUCUCGGCUUAAUACAAGGAAAUUUUAUGUGCUCGGAUGACUUCCACACAGAGAAGCGAGAGCAUGAACCGCAUACUGAAGAAAAUUUUUGUCAAAGAGAAGCAUGAUCUCCAUUUGUUUGCUCAGCAGGUGCACAAGUGCAUUCAGACUAGGAAGGUCGUCGAGCAAGCAGAGAUAGUAGCAAAUGAGUCAAAGGUAAAGACAACAACCCAGUUUGGGUUCGAAGUUCAGCUAUCAAAAGUGUAUACAAGGGCAGUGUUUGCAAAUUUCAAAGAAACACUCUACCGUAGCACUGCAUUCAGAGCAGAACGGUGCCCUGAGAACCCGACAAAGUAUCUCGUACACCACUACAACAGAUCGGAUGCAUUUGACUGGGCAAGGCAUAAUUUCCAAGUGGUCGCCGAUGAACAGAAAGGUGUCUACGAAUGUGAGUGCAAACUCUGGACACACACAGGGCUCUUUUGCGUCCAUGUGUUAUGCAUGCUUUCUCAUUUGAGAGUACUCAAGAUUCCUGAGGUGUACAUCAUGAAAAGAUACACCCGUAAUGCAAGAUCAAAUGCAACGUUUGACAAAAGAGACUAUGAACAAACAGCACCAGAUGGAACCUCGCUUUUUUGCUGUAGAAAAUUGCUGACAGAAACAGCAAUGGACCUUGCAAACAAAGCGACAAGGUCCGAC
rnacentral:rRNA from 1 species